UACGGGGGGGGCUAGCGUUGUUCGGAAUCACUGGGCGUAAAGGGCGCGUAGGCGGCUUUAUAAGUCGGGGGUGAAAGCCUGUGGCUCAACCACAGAAUUGCCUUCGAUACUGUAGAGCUUGAGACCGGAAGAGGUAAGUGGAACUGCGAGUGUAGAGGUGAAAUUCGUAGAUAUUCGCAAGAACACCAGUGGCGAAGGCGGCUUACUGGUCCGGUUCUGACGCUGAGGCGCGAAAGCGUGGGGAGCAAACAGG
rnacentral:rRNA from 1 species